AUUUGUCUGGUUAAUUCCGAUAACGAACGAGACCUUAACCUGCUAACUAGAUUCUUCCAUCCUAUGGUUGAUAUCUUCUUAGAGGGACUAUGUAAAUCAAUUACAUGGAAGUUUGAGGCAAUAACAGGUCAGUGAUGCCCUUAUAUGUCCUGGGCUGCACGCGUGCUACACUGAUGCAUACAACAAGUGCCUAGCCAGAUAUGGUAUGGCAAUCUCGAAUAUGCAUCGUGAUGGGGAUAGAUCUUUGCAAUUAUAGAUCUUGAACGAGGAAUUCCUAGUAAGUGCAAGUCAUCAUCUUGCAUUGAUUAUGUCCCUGCCCUUUGUACACACCGCCCGUCGCUCCUACCGAUACCGGGUGAUCCGGUGAACCUUUUGGACUCGUAAGGGGAAGAUAAGUAAACCAUAUCACCUAGAGGAAGGAGAAGUCGUAACAAGGUUUCCGUAGGUGAACCUGCRGAAGGAUCA
rnacentral:rRNA from 1 species